CGCCGUAAGGGACGCUGUCAACAUGUCGAGGAUACGCAGCGACAGAGCUCAGCCGUAGCACAACAGAAAUCCACUCCUAACCCUGCUCGCUCGAUUGACAAGAGCAGGGCAACGGAUUGGAUCGAGGUCGCCCUGGCCUCGCCGCCGCUGCCACCUCGAUUCACUAGCCGCUGCGUGGAGUCACCCUGGCCGCUGCCUCGAGUCACCUCCGUCGCCGCCGUGAGUCACCUCCAUCGUUGCCGCCAGGAAUCCCGCCCCGGCAAGGAAAAUUCCCAUGGAUUUGAUUGAUGGAGGCAUCACUAUUUGGUGUUGGAUCAUCCAUUUUUGUUUGGAAUGGCCAGUUCUCAAUUUCUAAAUCAGCUACACUAUACUUCUUAUCAGGUUAAAUUAUCUUGCUUUGUUUCAGUCUAUAUGUAGCAUAAAAAUAGGUGACGUUGUUGGUUUGUAUGUUACACUAAGAACACCACCAUAAGGAAAAGGGCAUUGCACUUCUUUGUUUAUAUUUGGUUUGUUCCUAUUCGGUUUGAUGUAGUACUUAAUUGCUAGACCAUUUCAAGUUUCUUGUUGUUUCAUUAUAUUCACUUAUAAUAUAUUUUUCAACUAUACAAGCACUUGGGGGAGUCAGGAAAACUGAAGCAAAGACAAACACUUUUACCGGUGAUAUUGGGGCUUUUUUUAACUGAGACAUGAAAGAUGCAUCUUAUCCCCUGAGAUAUAUUGCCUUAAAUCUCUUGAUUUUUUCCCUGACAUGCUAAUAUAGAGCUAGAUAUGCAUGAUUCAUCAUACACAUUACUGUCAAUUAUCUACUGGAAUUUUUUGUCCAUAGAGGUGAUUUUGUUUGGAUCAUUAGUCUAGGUAGUGAAAUUUUUUAUCCAUAAGGCACAAGUUUAUUUUCUUUUUCACCCGGGCUACACUAAAGUAAGCAUCACCGUCAAUGAAAAGAAGGCAUACAAAUCAUGAAGUUUUGGCCUUGGCUGUGUGCCUCGUUUAAUUGUCACUUAUUUAUUUCUAGGAAGUUAUUCAAUUCUCAUCGAGCUUUCCUUAUGCUUUAAAGAAGAAAUUUAAAUACGCAAUAUUUUUAAUAUCCGAGGAGACGAGAGGAGAUGAAAAAGGGCUGUAAGGUUGUACUUUGGUGCGUCUCUGGCCAAUGAUGGCUGGAUCCAUCUGACGCUCUUCCAAGCAGAGCAGUUCAGAUUUGCUUCUGACUGAUCAGCGGAGAAACAUGUUUCUACAAAUGUGCCAAAACUGAUGGAUUUAACUACAGGUAUAUUUCAUUUAUCACUCCCCCAGCAGACAUGAGUUCUCGUGGCGGGGUCUUUCAUACCGUCAUGUUAGGAAUUUAUUAUUGGAAUUCAUAUGAGGUCCUUCUUCAGGUUUCCACUUGUUUCUUACUUAAGUUAGCUGUCCAUUCUGGAUUUAAUGUGAAUAUUGCCUUUGUAUUCCAUAUGAAAUUCUACUAUUUGUUUUAGCUUCUGUAGUUUUCUAUUCAUAAUCCCUAGACAUUAUCGUGUGUGUGUCGAUACACUUCAUGGAUGGCGAGGUUUAAUAUCGCUUGCUUGUCGCCUUCUCUACCCUCGACAUGCGGAAGGCCAAUAAAGGUGGGGAUGAGUCAUGGAUCCUACUGGCGAUGGCUACUGGUUGUAGACGAGAUUUAAGCACAGGAAUCACAAAACAUGUUCUCUUUCCAAGAUUUUCAUAUCAUAUUUGUCAUGGGAUCUGAUUGCUUUACCAUAUUUUCCUUGUGUGGACGAUGUUAUAGAGUGAGCUACCAUCACUUCUCUACUGACUGUAAUCAAUAUAUAUGUGUUUAUGCCAUAAAAGAUGGAUAUUUGUCGAAGCCAUUGUCGUGUCAUGUAAUUACUUGCAGAUCAACUAUAUAGUUUUGUUCGGAUUGUAAAG